UACGUAGGGGGCAAGCGUUGUCCGGAUUCAUUGGGCGUAAAGAGCUCGUAGGCGGUUCGGCAAGUCGGGUGUGAAAACUCCAGGCUCAACCUGGAGACGCCACCCGAUACUGCUGUGACUUGAGUCCGGUAGGGGACCACGGAAUUCCUGGUGUAGCGGUGAAAUGCGCAGAUAUCAGGAGGAACACCGGUGGCGAAGGCGGGUCUCUGGGCCGAUAUUGACGCUGAGGAGCGAAAGCGUGGGGAGCGAACAGG
rnacentral:rRNA from 1 species